AAUGGGUUGGCUCAGUGGUUAGAGCUUGAGCCUUGUGACCGGAGGGUCCCGGGUUCGAUCUCGCCAGAGACAGGA
rnacentral:tRNA from 1 species